GGGAGAACCGUAGUGCGCAGGCGUCCGGACCGGAACCGCAUCUCCGGCGGCGGGGAUUGGAGCGCGCGCAUUUCGUGGGGCGGCAGCCCGCGCCCGGGUGCUGACCUCCUGCCUCAGCGCCCCCUCCCCUACUACCCGCGGCCUAGCGGGGUAGCCUCGGGCGGCCAGGCUUGUUUCCUCCUCGGUGGGUGUAAGGUGCGGCUUGGCUGGUCCUGGCCUGAAUCCAGCGGAAGCGCACGCUGCUGAGCUGUCAGCGGAGGAAAAUGGGGCCUGGACCUGGAGAUAUGAGGGUCUGGAGAGAGGGGCCCCUUCCCUGGUGUCGUGUGGUGCGACCACUGGAGAGGGAGUUUCUCGCCCUCGUCGCGCCUGCCGCGCGGAGAGAUAAGGAAUAGCUCUAAUCCAUAGAGGUAAUACUGUACCUGGCCACAACCAAUGAAUCCAGUGGUACACACCUAAUAACAAGCUGAGCCAGUGAGAGAGUCUCUCCCAGCAAAGCAAAACUUGAAAGAUAAAGAGGCAGGAGGCCUUUGCAGGUGAGCAUAUUAAUGGCAACUCAACCCCUGCUUCUAAGG
rnacentral:lncRNA from 1 species